CUAUUGAUAUCUAAGCUAAAUUGGAGAUAAUUUGUUCUAAAAGGAUUCUUCACUUUAUGUGAAUAUUCACACAAGAAUUACUUUGAAUGUGAAUUGAUAGCCCCCAGCAACAUCCAUUCCUUCCACAGUCCCUGUGCUCUUUAUUGGCUAAAUCCAACAAGAAGCCAGUGGGAGGAGAGCCUGUAAAUGCAGCCCAUCAAUUAAUGCAAUCCAGCCAAUCUCCUGGGCCCUGGAGCAGGUGGAGAGUGGAUUUGAAAGCAAAGUGGAAGAUACCCAGCAGACAGCUCCCUGGCAUGGUGUUAAACGCAUAACACUAGG